rnacentral:rRNA from 1 species
CCUACGGGUGGCAGCAGUGGGGAAUAUUGCGCAAUGGGCGAAAGCCUGACGCAGCGACGCCGCGUGAGGGAUGAAGGUCUUCGGAUCGUAAACCUCUGUCAGCAGGGAAGAACGGUCACUGUACUAAUCAGCAGUGCAUUGACGGUACCUGCCGAGGAAGCACCGGCUAACUCCGUGCCAGCAGCCGCGGUAAUACGGAGGUUGCGAGCGUUGAUCGGAAUUACUGGGCGUAAAGCGCUCGUAGGCGGUAUGUCAAGUCAAGGGUGAAAUCCCCGCGCUCAACGUGGGAACUGCCGUUGAAACUGGUAAACUGGAGUGUGUGAGAGGAUAGUGGAAUUCCAGGUGUAGGAGUGAAAUCCGUAGAUAUCUGGAGGAACAUCAGUGGCGAAGGCGACUAUCUGGCACAUAACUGACGCUGAGGAGCGAAAGCGUGGGUAGCAAACAGGAUUAGAUACCCCAGUAGUC